rnacentral:rRNA from 1 species
UACGAGAGGCCCAAACGUUAUUCGGAAUUACUGGGCUUAAAGAGUUCGUAGGCGGCGCAGAAAGUAGGGUGUGAAAGCCCUCGGCUCAACCGAGGAAUUGCGCUCUAAACUACUGUGCUCGAGGAAUCUAGAGGUGAGCGGAACUGAUGGUGGAGCGGUGAAAUGCGUUGAUAUCAUCAGGAACACCGGAGGCGAAGGCGGCUCACUGGGGGAUUUUCUGACGCUGAGGAACGAAAGCCAGGGGAGCGAACGGG